GGUUGAGAAGCUCAGACAAGUAGUAGCACGCGCCUGAUAAGCGCGCGGUUGCGGGUGCGACUCCCGCCUCAACCA
rnacentral:tRNA from 1 species